CUGCCUGUGGGUUCUGCAUGUGAGAUUGAUAAUGCGGUGGACCCCCAGCCGUAUGCAGUGGAGGCGGUGGUGGAGGCAUGCCUCUGUUCUGGCCCGGUGGUGGUGGAGGGCUGUUGAAGCCCUGGCCAGGUGGUGGUGGAGGGCUGUUGAAGCCCUGGCCAGGUGGUGGUGGAGGGCUGUUGAAGCCCUGGCCAGGAGGUGGUGGAGGGCUGUUGAAGCUCCCAGGAGGUGGGGGGGGGCCUGGGGGACUGUUAAAGCCCCCAGGAGGUGCAUCUCUGUUCUGGAAGUUCUGCUGAUUCUCUCUUCUCCUCUCAAAGUUCCUUGACCUGUCAAAGUUGCGGGGCCGAUCAGUGCGCCGAGACCUUU
rnacentral:lncRNA from 1 species